AUUGAACGCUGGCGGCAGGCUUAACACAUGCAAGUCGAGCGGGGUGAUGGUGCUUGCACUAUCACUUAGCGGCGGACGGGUGAGUAAUGCUUAGGAAUCUGCCUAUUAGUGGGGGACAACAUCUCGAAAGGGAUGCUAAUACCGCAUACGUCCUACGGGAGAAAGCAGGGGAUCACUUGUGACCUUGCGCUAAUAGAUGAGCCUAAGUCGGAUUAGCUAGUUGGUGGGGUAAAGGCCUACCAAGGCGACGAUCUGUAGCGGGUCUGAGAGGGUGUUCCGCCGCACUAGGCGCGAGACACGGUGCAGACUCCUGCGGGAGGCAGCAGUGGGGAAUAUUUGACAAUGUGGUGAACCUGGAUCCAGACAUGCCGAGUGUGUGAGGGAGGCCUUAUGAUUGUAAAGCACGUUAAGCGAGGAGGAGGCUCUUUUGGUUAAUCCCCACGAUGAGUGGACGUUACUCGCAGAAUAAGCACCGGAUAACUCUGUGCCAGCCGCCGCCGUAA
rnacentral:rRNA from 1 species